rnacentral:piRNA from 1 species
UCGCCUUCGAGGGCAUUGGAGAUGAGGAUC